AUUGAACGCUGGCGGAAUGCUUUACACAUGCAAGUCGAACGGCAGCACGGGGCAACCUGGUGGCGAGUGGCGAACGGGUGAGUAAUACAUCGGAACGUGCCCAAUCGUGGGGGAUAACGUAGCGAAAGUUACGCUAAUACCGCAUACGAUCUACGGAUGAAAGCGGGGGAUCGCAAGACCUCGCGCGAAUGGAGCGGCCGAUGUCAGAUUAGGUAGUUGGUGGGGUAAAGGCUCACCAAGCCGACGAUCUGUAGCUGGUCUGAGAGGACGACCAGCCACACUGGGACUGAGACACGGCCCAGACUCCUACGGGAGGCAGCAGUGGGGAAGUUUUGGUACGAAUAGG
rnacentral:rRNA from 1 species